rnacentral:rRNA from 1 species
CUCCCAAACCCCUGUGACAUACCACUUGUUGCCUCGGCGGAUCAGCCCGCUCCCGGUAAAACGGGACGGCCCGCCAGAGGACCCCUAAACUCUGUUUCUAUAUGUAACUUCUGAGUAAAACCAUAAAUAAAUCAAAACUUUCAACAACGGAUCUCUUGGUUCUGGCAUCGAUGAAGAACGCAGCAAAAUGCGAUAAGUAAUGUGAAUUGCAGAAUUCAGUGAAUCAUCGAAUCUUUGAACGCACAUUGCGCCCGCCAGUAUUCUGGCGGGCAUGCCUGUUCGAGCGUCAUUUCAACCCUCAAGCACAGCUUGGUGUUGGGACUCGCGUUAAUUCGCGUUCCUCAAAUUGAUUGGCGGUCACGUCGAGCUUCCAUAGCGUAGUAGUAAAACCCUCGUUACUGGUAAUCGUCGCGGCCACGCCGUUAAACCCCAACUUCUGAAUGUUGACCUCGGAUCAGGUAGGAAUACCCGCUGAACUUAAGCAUAUCAAUAAGCGGAGGAA